CCUACGGGAGGCAGCAGUGGGGGAUAUUGCACAAUGGGGGAAACCCUGAUGCAGCGACGCCGCGUGUGGGAAGACGGUCCUCUGGAUUGUAAACCACUGUCCCCAGGGACGAAGAUGACGGUACCGGGGGAGGAAGCGCCGGCUAACUACGUGCCAGCAGCCGCGGUAAGACGUCGGGAGCGAGCGCUGUCCGGAAGUACUGGGUGUCAAGGGAGCGGAGGCGGGGAUGCAAGUUGGGUGUCAAAACUACCGGCUCAACUGGGAGUCGCACUCAAAACUGCCGCUCUUGAGUGAAGUAGAGGCAGGCGGCUUUCCUAGUGUAGCGGUGCAAUGCGUCGAUAUUAGGCGGACCCCCAGUGGCGCAGGCGGCCUGCUGGGCUUUUCCUGCCGCUGUGGCUCGACAGUGUGGCGAGCAAACAGGAUUAGAUACCCCGGUAGUC
rnacentral:rRNA from 1 species